rnacentral:tRNA from 1 species
AGAGAGUUGCCGGAGUGGUAACGGAGCAGUUUGCUAAACUGUGGUCGGGAAACUGACUCAUGAGUUCGAAUCUCAUACUCUCUA